AUCUGAUUUAUUCGUUAUCCAGUGAUGAAGAUCUUGGCUGUCACUUCUGUGGAUAAGGAGCAGAGGAACUCAUGUAAGGAACAAAGUUCGUGUUCCUGGUUUGCAGUGCGUUUUCCCCAAGUGAACACCACAGAUGCUUUAGUCAUUCUCUGAUGCUAAAGAUCCUGGCUUUUACAAAACCUGUGGGUAAGGAGACAAGAGACUGAUAAUGACCAUGGGACAGUGGACUUACUCAUUUUCUAAGUGGGUAAAGAACACAGAGACAAACAAGAACAAGACAGAGCUGAUCUAAUCAUCCUGUAACUGUGUAGGCCCUGGCUCUUACUUCUGGGACCAAGGAGCAUGAACACUGAUAGCGAACAUAAGACAGCCGAUUUCAUCAUUUAAUAAAGAAUUGUUAUCGUGAGCAAGGAGCAUAAAGACAAAUAUAAGUAAGUCCCUCAGUUCACGUCCUUUGUUUGGAU